UACGUAGGGGGCAAGCGUUGUCCGGAUUUAUUGGGCGUAAAGAGCGUGUAGGCGGCUGGGUAGGUCCGUUGUGAAAACUCGAGGCUCAACCUCGAGACGCCGAUGGAAACCCCCCAGCUAGAGUCCGGAAGAGGCGAGUGGAAUUCCUGGUGUAGCGGUGGAAUGCGCAGAUAUCAGGAGGAACACCAAUAGCGAAGGCAGCUCGCUGGGACGGUAUUGACGCUAAGGCGCGAAAGCGUGGGGAGCAAACAGG
rnacentral:rRNA from 1 species